UACGUAGGGUGCAAGCGUUAAUCGGAAUUACUGGGCGUAAAGCGUGCGCAGGCGGCUUUGCAAGACAGAUGUGAAAUCCCCGGGCUCAACCUGGGAACUGCAUUUGUGAUCUGCAUGGCUAGAGUACGGUAGAGGGGGAUGGAAUUCCGCGUGUAGCAGUGAAAUGCGUAGAUAUGCGGAGGAACACCGAUGGCGAAGGCAAUCCCCUGGACCUGUACUGACGCUCAUGCACGAAAGCGUGGGGAGCAAACAGG
rnacentral:rRNA from 1 species